ACCGCACCUCCAAUGCGACUCGAUACACAGCCUCUCGCCGUCGCCACUCCAAUUCGAAGAAGCAACUCCUCGUCGCCACUCACCGUCAUCGCUCCGAUCAUCCUCUCGUGGCCGGCGCCUCUGUCUCAAUUUCAGGUAAGUGCAAAAUAACAAAGUUUUGAAGACCAGAACACCCAAAGAGCUGUUGAGAUUUGGAUUGUCAAGGGAGCUACAGAUCCAAAGACUACGGGAGAGAAAGAGUGAUUGAGCAAGAAGGAAUCAAAAAUGGUUAUGACCACUACUCCUCUGCUAAUCCGUUGCAGCAGAGCAGACUAUAUUCAUAUCCCAAAAUGUAUCCUUACAUCAGCAAAUACAAUCUAACCGUUGUGAAGGCUAAACCAAUGUGAAUAUGACACAUGGCUUUACAAAGCUUUACAGCCACUGAAAUAAGAAAAACAAUCCUAAGCCUUACACUUGGCAUAUGAGCUCAAGGUGCUCAGCUCACAGAUGACUUAAAUGGACUAAAUAUAAACUGACUAAGUACUUACUAACUAAUCAGAAAUUAGCUAGGCAGUUUACAUUUUAACACUCCCUUCUAAAGUGCUAGCUGAUUUGACUCCAAGCAUAUUCCUCAAGUAGCAGAACCUAUCUUUGGGAAGUGCCUUGGUGAAGAUGUCAGCAAUUUGCUCUUCUCCCUUGCAGUAGAGCAGUUCAAUCACUCCUUCUUGGAUUGCUUCUCUAAUAAAAUGGAACUUCCUCUUAAUGUGCUUGCUCCUUUGAUGAAACACAGGAUUUUUAGCCAUUGCUAUUGCUGAAGUGUUGUCACAGAACACAGUGGUUGCAGCAGUCUGUUCUUCUCCAAAGUCUUCAAGAACAAACCUGAGCCAAAUGGCUUGUGAUGUAGCUUCUGCAGCACUUACAUACUCUGCUUCUGCUGUUGAAAGGGCCACACUGUGUUGUUUGACUGAUGCCCACGAAAAUGCACCACUUCCAAAUGAAAAUGCAUAUCUGGAAGUGCUCUUCAUAUCUUCCUCUGAUCCACUCCAGUCACUAUCACAAUAUCCUACUAGAAGUGCAGACUUUCCAGUCACAUACUCAAUUCCAUAAUCAAUUGAGCCUUGUAUGUACCUUAGAACUCUUUUGGCUGCCCCAUAGUGCAUCUUAGAAGGAGUGUGCAUGAAUCUUGCAAGUAGACUAGCUGAAAACAUGAUAUCAGGUCUGGUUGCAGUUAGAUAUAGCAAGCUUCCUACAAUUUUUCUGUACAAGCUUUCAUCAGCUGCUUCACUUCCAUCUUCUCUUUGCAAUUUAUCAGUGGCAACUAAUGGAGUGCUCACUGAUUUGCAAUCCUUGAGUCCAAACUUAUCUAGGAGAGUGAGUGCAUACUUCUUUUGAUGGAUGAAAAUGCUCCCUUCAGUUUGUGUUACUCCCAUACCAAGAAAAUGAUGGAGUAAACCCAAGUCAGACAUUUCAUACUUGCACAUCAUCUCAGCCUUGAAUUCUUUCACCAUUUCAUCACUGCUUCCAGUAUAUACUAUGUCAUCUACAUAGAUUGAUAUAAUUAAUGUUCCCACACCUUCCUUGGUUCUCACAUAGAGAGUUGCUUCACUUGGACUUCUGUGAAAACCACACUGAUAUAAGUAAGUGUCGAUUUCACUGUACCAGGCCCUUGGAGCCUGCUUUAGUCCAUAGAGAGCUUUUCUUAGUCUGUACACCUUAUCCUCAGCUCCUUUAAUCACAAAGCCUUCAGGUUGAUCCACAUAGACUUCCUCUUCAAUAACACCAUUUAAGAAAGCUGAUUUGACAUCCAAUUGCCAUAAUUUCCAGCCUUUCUGUGCAGCUAGUGCAAUGAGAGUUCUAAUAGUGUCUAACCUUGCUACUGGAGCAAAGGUUUCAUUGAAAUCAAUCCCUGGUUUUUGUGUGUAACCCUUGGCUACAAGUCUUGCCUUGUGUUUUUGAAUGGAGCCAUCAAGAUUUAGUUUUGUUUUGUAUAUCCACUUCACUCCCACAAUUGGUUUGCUGCCUGGUCUAUCAACCAAUUUCCAAGUGGAAUUCUUCUCUAUCAUUGAUAUCUCUUCAAUCAUAGCUUUGUUCCAAGCUUCAUCUUUGGCUGCUUCAUGGUAACUCUCUGGUUCAAUAAUGCUCAGAUUACAUUGAGCAUAGACCUCACUUAAGUUCUUCCAUUUUUGUGGAGUAUGAUCAAAAGUUUCAGAGAUUGAAACUGAUGAAUCAUGUGUAGCAGAUUCCAGAGUGGUUUGCAGAUCAUUCACCUCUUGUGGUCUCUGAGGAGAUUGACCCGACUGAAGUGAUUCAUUUGAAUAUGAAUCAAUAUCUGAUAUUCUUGAACUUUCUUCUUCAUGCCAUGGAAUAGUCACUUGUACUUCUUCAUUCAAUUCCCAAUUCCACAUUGCUUUCUCAUCAAAGAUAAUGCUCCUUGAGAGUUCAAUCUUUUUAGUUUCUAGAUUAAAAACUCUAUACCCUUUCUCACAAAUCCCAUAUCUGAGAAAUACUCCCUUCAUUCCAGUUUCUUCUAGCUUGUGUCUUUUCUGAGUAGGAAUAUGAAUAUAGCACAGUGAACCAAAUAUUCUCAAGUGCUUGACACCUGGUUUUCUCCCACUGAACUUCUCGAAUGGAGUUGUAUUAUCCAGAGCACUUGUUGGACUUCUAUUUUGCAGGUAUACUGCUGUAUUGAUAGCUUCUGCCCAAAAUUUCAAAGGGAUUUUCUUCUCAUGCAUCAUUGUUCUUGCCAUUUCCAUCAGAGUACGAUUCUUUCUCUCUGCAACUCCAUUCUGUUGCGGAGAGUAGGCUAUAGUUAGUUGCCUUUCUAAUCCCAUCUCUUCACAAAACUUUGAAAAUUCCAAAGAUGUAUAUUCUCCACCUCUAUCACUUCUUAGCUUCUUAAUUUGAUAACCACUUUGCAACUCAACCAUGCUUUUGAACCUUUUGAAUAUGUUGAAUGCUUGAGACUUAUGCUGCAAGAAAAACACCCAACACAUUCUAGUGUGAUCAUCAAUGAAGGUGAGAAAGUAUCUAUUCCCUCCAAGAGUGAUAGACUGCAUUGGACCACAGAUAUCAGAGUGAAUCAGUUCUAGUGGUUGAGAGGCUCUCCAAGCUAUUUCCUUAUCAAAUGAACUUCUGUGACUCUUGCCUAUAGCACAACCCGAGCAAGUCUUCUUAGAUUCUUGUAACUUAGGUAGACCCUGAACCAUGUCUUUCUCUUGUAAGAGUCUCAAACUACCGUAGUUUAGAUGCCCGAAUCUUCUGUGCCACAAGCAAGAUGGUUCUCCAAAUGUUGCUCUAUUUGCCACAGGAGGAUUGACAUAUUUGAGAUCUAAGGGAAAACAUCUGUUCCCUUUCAUUUGAACCCUUGCAAUCAGCUCUUGCAGUUGCUUAUCUUCAUAAAUGUCAACCUCAUUAUCACCAAACACCAACCAAUGCCCAUGCUCUAUCAUCUGUCCUACACUCAACAGAUUCUCAUCCAGACCAGGUACAAUCAUGACUUCCCUAAUGAAUCUAGUAACCCCUUGCACAUCUAUAGCCAAAGUACCUUUGCCUAUUGAUUGCACUAAAUCACCAGUGCCCAUCUUAACUUUACAGUUCACAUUUCUAUCUAUAUCAAUAAGUAAGGACUCAUGAGCAGUCAUAUGAUUACUACAAGCACUGUCCACAUACCACACAUUCAUAUUUUUUUCAAUAGAAGCUGAAUGACAAGCAUAGAACAUAGUAGCAGGUUCUGUUACCUUGCUAGCCAAGUUUGCAAGUUUCUCAGUCUUAUUUGAUUGUUCACAGUCUUUAAUGAGAUGCCCAAAACGGUUGCACCCAUAGCACUUUGGCUUUCCUUUAAACUAGCAUUCUCCAUAGUGAAGCUUAUCACAGUGCUUGCAUUUCCCUUUUGCUUGAUCUGAUUUUUCCCCUGGUUCAUGCUUUCCUCCUUGGUUGCCACUAUUUUGAGGUUUUGAAUCCCAUUUCUUACCCUUCGAUUUCCAGCUCUUUUUUGAUUUAUUAUUACCAAAACCAGAGUUGGAUUGAGAUCCCUUUUGAUUUAUGCUCAUGCUGCUGAAGGCCUUCUCAGUGGUGUUCUCAGCAUGCCUAUCAAGGCGCUGAGCAAAACCCCUCAAUGCAGCAAUCACCUCUUGCACCUCAAUCAUUUCAAUAUCCUUAGUUUGUUCAAUUACAUAACAGACAGGAUCAAACUCCUUAGUCAGACUUAUAAGCAGUUUUUGAACUAACCUUCCUUUGGAUAGGUCUUCCCCAUAUCCCUUCAUCUGAUUCACAAGCUCAAGUAGGCGAGUGAGGUAUCCAGACAAGGUCUCAUCAUCCCUCAUCCUUGUAUACUCAAAAUCACGACGCAAACCCUGCAAUUUGAUAGAUCUGACCUGCUUAUCACCAUGAAAUUCCUGAUGUAAAAUAUCCCAUGCACCCUUUGAGGUUUCUUCAUUCGAAAUCCUUGGAAAAAUGUCUUCUGAGACAGCCCCUUGGAUAAUCCCAAGUGCCUUAGCAUCCUUCAUUAACAGAGCUUCCUUCUCAGAAUCCGAUGACCCAGCAUCAUCCACAUUCUUCCCCUUUGAAUCUGGAAUUUUAAGCCCAUUUUCAACUAAAUCCCAGAUUCCAUGAGAUUUGAAAAUCGUUCUCAUUCGAAUCUUCCAAAAUUCAUAGUUGUCCCCAUUGAAUAUUGGAGCUCUGAGAUCACUCCCUCCUGACCCAGCCAUCUGAGACAGAAUCAAUGAACUGAGUCGGAAAUUUCUCGUCGGAUUUCCAAGCUCAGCCCACACACAGCUUCAACGCCCACUACACAGAUCCAACCUUCGCUGCUGAUACCAUGUUGAGAUUUGGAUUGUCAAGGGAGCUACAGAGCCAAAGACUACGGGAGAGAAAGAGUGACUGAGCAAGAAGGAAUCAAAAAUGGUUAUGACCACUACUCCUCUGCUAAUCCGUUGCAGCAUAGCAGACUAUAUUCAUAUCCCAAAAUGUAUCCUUACAUCAGCAAAUACAAUCUAACCGUUGUGAAGGCUAAACCAAUGUGAAUAUGACACAUGGCUUUACAAAGCUUUACAGCCGCUGAAAUAAGAAAAACAAUCCUAAGCCUUACACUUGGCAUAUGAGCUCAAGGUGCUCAGCUCACAGAUGACUUAAAUGGACUAAAUAUAAACUGACUAAGUACUUACUAACUAAUCAGAAAUUAGCUAGGCAGUUUACAUUUUAACAAGAGCAUUAUUUCGUAUUUUUGUUGUUGGCUUUUAUGUUUACAGCCUCAUUUGCCAUUUUAAACCCACACAUUUUGUGUGUGCAUACUUAUAAGGAGCAGACUAUAUAUGCAGAUUGGGUUUCAAUUUGAUUUCCCUAGAGAUGCUGAAAGCAAACAGCCUUCAAAGGUUGUUUCUUUCCCCCUUUUUUAGUGUGAUAGAAGUUCCGUGGAGUUCAUAAUUGCAUAAAAGGAGUCAAAGUAGUGGCUGCGGCGGGUGGAGGCACUUCUUCGAAGGGCCCCGUCCGCCGGCCUGCCGGUCCGAUCUGGAGAAUUCAUGUUCCGGCAGGUGGGCUAGACAGAAUGGUUUCCACAAUAUAUGCAAAAUUAUUUCAAAUACCAAGAGGAAGCAAAAGUGGUUUCCCAUCCAUAAGAAAAAAUUUCAUUGGUUACUGUCAUUUUACAACAAAAAAAUCCAAAAUGGGCUGUUUCUUUUCAACCUCUAGAGAAUUAACUAUCUUCUAUCUAAUUGACCCCCCACAAAUUGAGGAUACAGUGCAAACACCAGCAGAUGUUGUGAGGGGAAUAUCUCUGUAGCAGGCCACUAGGUCAGUGUUAGUAUGCAGAUCCACUUGCAAGCUCUCCCACACUUUCUUCUUGGGGUUCAACACCUCAUCAGGCUCACCUGCGAACCCCGAAAAUGUAACUCUCUCGCCAACCUGAGCUGCUUUAGGCGGGUUGACCAAUUCAACCGUGGCGUGGUCACUGUUCGAAGCAACAAGAACCAUCGCUUGUG
rnacentral:lncRNA from 1 species